GCUGGCGGCGUGCCUAACACAUGCAAGUCGAGCGGGGAUAGAGGAGUAGCUUGCUACGAAUUUAUCCUAGCGGCGGACGGGUGAGUAACGCGUGAGCAACCUGGCCUGUACAGGGGGAUAACAGAUGGAAACAUCUGCUAAUACCGCAUAACACUUAUAGACCACAUGGUUUAUGAGUCAAAGGAGAAAUCCGGUAUAGGAUGGGCUCGCGUCCCAUUAGCUAGUUGGUAAGGUAACAGCUUACCAAGGCGACGAUGGGUAGCCGACCUGAGAGGGUGAUCGGCCACACUGGGACUGAGACACGGCCCAGACUCCUACGGGAGGCAGCAGUGGGGAAUAUUGGACAAUGGGGGAAACCCUGAUCCAGCGACGCCGCGUGAGUGAAGAAGGUUUUCGGAUUGUAAACCUCUGUCUUCGGCGAAGAAUUUUGACGGUAGCCGAGGAGGAAGCCACGGCUAACUACGUGCCAGCAGCCGCGGUAAUACGUAGGUGGCAAGCGUUGUCCGGAAUUACUGGGUGUAAAGGGUGCGCAGGCGGGAUAUCAAGUCGGGCGUGAAAACUAUGGGCUUAACCCAUAGACUGCGUUCGAAACUG
rnacentral:rRNA from 1 species